AUUGAACGCUGGCGGAAUGUUUUACACAUGCAAGUCGAACGGCAGCACGGGGCAACCUGGUGGCGAGUGGCGAACGGGUGAGUAAUACAUCGGAACGUGCCCAGUCGUGGGGGAUAACGUAGCGAAAGUUACGCUAAUACCGCAUACGAUCUAAGGAUGAAAGCGGGGGAUCGCAAGACCUCGCGCGAUUGGAGCGGCCGAUGUCAGAUUAGGUAGUUGGUGGGGUAAAGGCCCACCAAGCCGACGAUCUGUAGCUGGUCUGAGAGGACGACCAGCCACACUGGGACUGUGACACGGCCCAGACUCCUACGGGAGGCAGCAGUGGGGAAUUUUGGACAAUGGGCGCAAGCCUGAUCCAGCCAUUCCGCGUGCAGGAUGAAGGCCUUCGGGUUGUAAACUGCUUUUGUACGGAGCGAAAAGGCUCUCUCUAAUACAGGGGGCUCAUGACGGUACCGUAAGAAUAAGCACCGGCUAACUACGUGCCAGCCGCCGCGGUAA
rnacentral:rRNA from 1 species